rnacentral:tRNA from 1 species
ACCUGGGUGGCUCAGUUGGUUAAGCAUCUGACUUCAGCUCAGGUCAUGAUCUCACAGUUUGUGGGUUUGAGCCCCACAUCAGGCU